CAGGACCUGAGAGGUUCGAGAAAACUUGUGACCGACCAGUUAAGACGGGAGCUCAGGAGCUGGAACAGUUAGUGGUGCUCAUACCCACUAGGGCAGAGCUGCAUCAGCCCAAUCAAACCACAUGCCCACCUCGCUAAGCAUGUUUCCUUCACACCAGACUCACCAGGCAACGUUGCAGUGUGGAUGCACGGUUGUCAGGACAGGACUCUGCGUCCUCCCACAGCGGAGACAACUCCCACUUCUGGUGAAAGAUUUCAGGAUCUUCUAAGGAGAAGUCCUUCGGCAGCACAGGAGGCACUCGCCUGGCACCCAGCCAGUCCUGAAAAGCCCGUUCAGCUGUUCUAGAGCCACUUGGGCAAGACACGCAAGGCCCAGGCAGAACUGGUUCCAAAGCACCGCCUCCGUGAAGCCUGCCAUUCCUCCUUCGCCACUGUAUCGGGCUGUCCUGAUCCCUUUGCUGGAGACAGAGAGCACUCACGUAGCCCUCUGCCCUGGAAGCUUUGUGUU